ensembl:misc_RNA 7SK 7SK RNA
GGAUGUGAGGGCGAUCUGGCUGCAACAUCUGUCACCCCAUUGAUCGCCAGGGUUGAUUCAGCUGAUCUGGCUGGGUAGUCAGGUGUCCCCUUCCUCCCUCACCGCUCCAUGUGCAUCCUUCCUGAAGCUGCACGCUCAGUUGAAGAGGACAACCUUCUCUGAUAGAGGAGGACUUCUUUGGUAGCUGCACUUCCCUGCUAGAACCCUCCAAAUAAGCUCUCAAGGUCCAUUUGUAGGAGAACAUAGGUUAGUCAAGCUUCUAAGACUCUAGACACAUCCAAAUGAGGUGCUCAUUU